rnacentral:rRNA from 1 species
UAAUACGGAGGGUCCGAGCGUUAUCCGGGAUCAUUGGGUUUAAAGGGUCCGCAGGCGGUCAAUUAAGUCAGAGGUGAAAUCCCAUAGCUUAACUAUGGAACUGCCUUUGAUACUGGUUGACUUGAGUCAUAUGGAAGUAGAUAGAAUGUGUAGUGUAGCGGUGAAAUGCAUAGAUAUUACACAGAAUACCGAUUGCGAAGGCAGUCUACUACGUAUGUACUGACGCUGAGGGACGAAAGCGUGGGGAGCGAACAGGAUUAGGUACCCUGGUAGUCCACGCCGUAAACGAUGGAUACUAGUUGUUGGGCAUUAGCUCAGUGACUAAGCGAAAGUGAUAAGUAUCCCACCUGGGGAGUACGGUCGCAAGACUG